AUUCUGAAUUAAAAAGAUAACAAAAAGUCUUGUGGCCUCUUUCAGCUUAGCCCUGAUGUACUGAAACUGACUAGAAACAGCUCUACAGUAUUUACUUUUUCUGGAGAACCGGUCCCAGAGGACGCGCUGCCAGUGGAUUCUGGGAUGGGCAGGGUGAAAACCGAAAACCCAAAUGAAAAUCUGAUUUUUGCCUUGUUCCCUUAAACUGCAAGAGUUCACACACUGAAAUCCGGUAGGGCUUCUCGGCUUCAUUUUUGUUUUCUCUGUAUUAUGCCCAGGAUGAAGGAGGCUCACAGGGGCUCCCUCUCGAGAAAUGGCUGCUCUGCGUGUAGGAAACUGUUUGCCAACAACCACCCCCACCACCCCAGAUUUACUACGAUCCAUCCCCACAUAAAGCAAGUAGGCAGCCCUGCUCUCAUGAAUAACAUGCCACCUUGUCAGACAUCCCGAGGAAGACACAACAUAAAGAAAGCUUAUUAAAUGUGCUUCUACAACCUUCCUUCCAAGUAUAGAAAAUAAGGUUACAUAGACAGUUUGUGGCUAAAGGUCCAUUGAGUUGUGCUGCUGGGGCCUAUCGUGUCACAGAGAUGGGUUGCCGCGAUGCAGAAGGCACUCUGUAGAGAGCAGAUGUAGCGCCGGGACCCAAAACCGCCAUUCCUGGCUGAAGUCUCUGCAAAAGGUGUGUGGGUGUGUGUGUAAUAAUUCCUCCAUUCACUUCCAUUUUUAAAAGUGUGCAUUCCAAACCUUCAUUUUGGGCAGCUUCUGCAGUGGUCGAGGGACGAUGACAAAAUGUGAUGGCAGAAGUGCAGAUGGCCUGGAUCAGGGGAGAGUGGUAAACACAAAGCUAGCCAGGUAGAACCAGGUGCCUCUUCUUCCCUCUCUUUCUGUUUACAGUCCCAAGGGCGGUUUUCUCAGCAAAGCUUGGAAAUGUUAUUUGGACUAAAAGCCCCAGAAUCCGCCAGCCAGCCUGUCAUUCUGGGAAGGUGUUGAAGAAGCUAGUUUUUCCAAAGGGCGGCGCUCUUAGGCACCCUUCCUUCCCACUUCUUCUCAAGGAGCUUCUCACUUGCAACUGGUUUCUACCGAGCUGUGGCAGGAACAGGGCUCAGCCCCAUGACUCUCCACCUGCACCCUUCCAGGACGCUGGCCUGUCAUGGCCUCAGGUCUGUCUGCACAUGACCUCCAGGAAGGUUUCAAGCUCCUCCACAUCGUCUCCGGAGCCCCUUUUAAUGAGUCUUCCUGGUAGAGCACCACAUGCACAAGAGCGGAUGCCCAGUGGGGAAGUCCUUCAUCAAAUUCGAAAAAACGAACGCCUUUCCAGGAAUCUAAUGAAACACACAAACACACCCUCCGGUAAUGGAAAAAAAGGAAAGAGAGAGAGAGAGAGAAAUACUACCUGUGUAACCGUAACGUGAUUUUUGUCCUCCCCAAAUAAAAGAGAUAAUGAUGUAGAAGCA
rnacentral:lncRNA from 1 species